CCCAAACUUACACCAAAUAUCAAACUUUCUCUCUCUAGCUUUGAAGCCAAUCUUCAAGGAUUCUCUUGAAUUCAAUGAGAUUGAAGGUGUUUAGGCAAGAUUUAGUGGUGGAUUAGUGUGUUUGGUAUGAUUUUAGGAAGCUCCGAAGGUUUCAUUAAUGGUUGACAAUGGAGGAAAGUGAGAGAUGAGGGAGAGAAGGUGGUGGUCGAAAGUGGGGGAGAAGGAGAGAGAGAAUUGCUUUGUAAGAUAUGGAUUGAUUUGGUAAUCUUAUGAAAG
rnacentral:lncRNA from 1 species